UUACGGCCAUAUCACGUUGAAACAUUGGUUCCCGUACGAUUACUGUAGUUAAGCGACGUCGAGCCUGGUCAGUAGCUAGAGGGGUGACAGCUUGAGAAUACUAGAUGAU